rnacentral:rRNA from 1 species
AACGAACGCUGGCGGCAUGCCUAACACAUGCAAGUCGAACGAGACCUUCGGGUCUAGUGGCGCACGGGUGCGUAACGCGUGGGAACCUGCCCUUAGGUUCGGAAUAACUCCCCGAAAGGGGUGCUAAUACCGGAUAAUGUCUUCGGACCAAAGGUUUAUCGCCUUUGGAUGGGCCCGCGUUGGAUUAGCUAGUUGGUAGGGUAAAAGCCUACCAAGGCGACGAUCCAUAGCUGGUCUGAGAGGAUGGUCAGCCACACUGGGACUGAGACACGGCCCAGACUCCUACGGGAGGCAGCAGUGGGGAAUAUUGGACAAUGGGCGAAAGCCUGAUCCAGCAAUGCCGCGUGAGUGAUGAAGGCCUUAGGGUUGUAAAGCUCUUUUACCCGGGAUGAUAAUGACAGUACCGGGAGAAUAAGCUCCGGCUAACUCCGUG